CCUACGGGUGGCUGCAGUGGGGAAUAUUGCACAAUGGGCGAAAGCCUGAUGCAGCAACGCCGCGUGAAGGAAGAAGGGUUUCGGCUCGUAAACUUCUAUCAACAGGGACGAAAGAAAUGACGGUACCUGAAUAAGAAGCCCCGGCAAACUACGUGCAAGCAGCCGCGGUAAUACGUAGGCGGCAAGCGUUAUCCGGAUUUACUGGGUGUAAAGGGUGAGUAGGGGGCAUGGUAAGCCAGAGGGGAAGGCCUUGGCUUAACCCGAGGAUUGCAUUUGGAAAUAUCGAGCUAGAGUACAGGAGAGGAAAGCGGAAUUCCUAGUGUAGCGGUGAAAUGCGUAGAUAUUAGGAAGAACACCAGUGGCGAAGGCGGCUUUCUGGCCUGAAACUGACGCUGAGGCACGAAAGCGUGGGGAGCGAACAGGAUUAGAUACCCGAGUAGUC
rnacentral:rRNA from 1 species